UACGUAGGGGGCUAGCGUUGUCCGGAAUCAUUGGGCGUAAAGCGCGUGUAGGCGGUCCGGUAAGUCCGCUGUGAAAGUCGGGGGCUCAACCCUCGAAUGCCGGUGGAUACUGUCGGGCUAGAGUGCGGUAGGGGAGACUGGAAUUCCUGGUGUAGCGGUGGAAUGCGCAGAUAUCAGGAGGAACACCGAUGGCGAAGGCAGGUCUCUGGGCCGCAACUGACGCUGAGGAGCGAAAGCACGGGGAGCGAACAGG
rnacentral:rRNA from 1 species